rfam:Schistosoma rodhaini strain Burundi genome assembly, scaffold: SROB_scaffold0000508
ACACUGCUGAGGAGUUCCACAAUAGGACGAAACGGCCGUUCAGUGC